rnacentral:rRNA from 1 species
UCAGGAUGAACGCUAGCUACAGGCUUAACACAUGCAAGUCGAGGGGCAGCAGGGCAAUAGCUGCUAUGUUGCUGGCGACCGGCGCACGGGUGAGUAACGCGUAUCCAACCUACCCCGCGGUCAGGGACAGCCCGGCGAAAGUCGGAUUAAUACCUGAUGCAGUCAGAAGAGGGCAUCUGAUUUUGACGAAAGAUUGAUCGCCUCGGGAUGGGGAUGCGUAGGAUUAGGCAGGCGGCGGGGUAACGGCCCACCGCGCCGACGAUCCUUAGGGGUUCUGAGAGGAAGGUCCCCCACACUGGUACUGAGACACGGACCAGACUCCUACGGGAGGCAGCAGUGAGGAAUAUUGGUCAAUGGGCGCGAGCCUGAACCAGCCAAGUAGCGUGCAGGAUGACGGCCCUAUGGGUUGUAAACUGCUUUUAUGCGGGGAUAAAGUGCGGCACGUGUGCCGUUUUGUAGGUACCGCAUGAAUAAGGACCGGCUAAUUCCGUGCCAGCCGCUGC